rnacentral:lncRNA from 1 species
UUACCGGAGGUCUUGAGCAAUACCAGAUAGUCUGUGCUAACAAUGUAACUUUUGGUGGGGGACCUUUGGACAUGUGGUACCACUCAAGCUCCAGAGGGGUUAGAGACAGGGUAGUCACAUGGGUGAACAGAAUGUCCGAAUGGCCAACUCCCAGUAAAAACUCUGGACAACAAAGCUUGGGUCCUAGACAGUGCAAUACACAAAAGAAAUAUGAGCUAUAAUUAUUGGAAUGAAGAAACUGUCAUGAUUACAGAGGGAGAGGAAAAGGCCCAACACCUGCUUGUCAGGGCUCCUGGAUCACGCCCUGCUGCCUGCUGACCUAUAUUGGACUCAAGCCCUUCUUCUGGCAUGCUCACCUGUUAACCCACCUAUCAGCCCACACCUCUGACUGCUGGCUGCUCCCCAUUGAGCCUGAAAUACUGUGCUAUCUGCCUGUACCCUUUUGCAUAAGCUGGGGUUGGGGUAUCUCAGAUUUCUACCUGGGCCUGGUCAAGAUUGCCACAUACCUCACCUCUUCUGUUCUGGUCCUCAUCCUGUGUUUCUGGACAAAAAUAACAUUUGAGUAGAAAGCUUUUCUACUUGUUGACAUAGUUGAACAGAUUUUGCUUUAUUGAGAUGAAAUGGAGCCUAAAUUUAUCUGGAAAUGUGUGGAAUCAGUAGAGAGAAGUAAACACAACUCGAAGAAAGCGGGAAACCCCUGUGUACAAUUCAGCUUUUUCACUCCCAGGGAGUUGGGCAUGAUCGUAAAGAAUGAUGUUUUCAAGCCUGCCAAUAACAGAACACGUCUGUAUCCAUUGUGGAUGGGCUUCUGUUGAGAAAGCUUCCUUUUCGCCCAAGUAGAGGAGCUCUUCACUGCCCUAAGAUCCUGC